GCGCUUACUCCAGAAGCACACAUCCUAAAAUUGGAAUGAUACAGAAAAGGUAAGCGAGGCCUAGAAAAAAUGGUCCCUGUGCAAGGGUAACACUCAAAUUCAUGAUAGUUCUAUUUUUUA
rnacentral:snRNA from 1 species